GAGAAGAUGAGGCGUAUAAGAUUCUAUAUAUUGUGAUAGAUUUUAUUACAGACUCAGAGUCCAGAUUACAUACAAAGGAAAGCAAAGACAAUAAAAGAAUAAAAAGUACAAUAAAAAUAAAA